GUGGGGAAUAUUGGACAAUGGGCGCAAGCCUGAUCCAGCCAUGCCGCGUGUGUGAAGAAGGCCUUCGGGUUGUAAAGCACUUUUGUUGGGAAAGAAAUCCUGUCGGCUAAUACCCGGCGGGGAUGACGGUACCCAAAGAAUAAGCACCGGCUAACUUCGUGCCAGCAGCCGCGGUAAUACGAAGGGUGCAAGCGUUACUCGGAAUUACUGGGCGUAAAGCGUGCGUAGGUGGUUCGUUAAGUCAGAUGUGAAAGCCCCGGGCUCAACCUGGGAAUUGCAUUUGAUACUGGCGGACUAGAGUGCGGUAGAGGAGAGUGGAAUUCCCGGUGUAGCAGUGAAAUGCGUAGAGAUCGGGAGGAACAUCAGUUGCGAAGGCGGCUCUCUGGACCAGCACUGACACUGAGGCACGAAAGCGUGGGGAGCAAACAGGAUUAGAAACCCGGGUAGUCC
rnacentral:rRNA from 1 species